CUACACAAGAGAGUUGACAGUUUAGAUACACACACCGGAGCACUGUAGUUGCAGACCCUUCACAAUGGAUGAAAAGCCAAAAAUACAGCAAAUCCUAAGCAUGAUUGUUCAAACAAAUGCUUCUGUUAAUUCUAUGGGCAAUCCAAUCAGCUUUUUUGACUGUAUCAUACUGGAACAACUUGCAAAGAUUCGAAACGUCUUCAAAUGAACUUCAUCAGCAGCAAAACUUUUAUCGAAGCUGCACCACAGACAUUGGUCAUGCUAUUGAGGACAUAACAAAACAUGUACCCUGCAGUUUUAUCAUUAUCUGACAAUCAGCAAUAAAUAAAUGUAUCAAGCUUCAGCAAGUCUCCUUUGA